rnacentral:rRNA from 1 species
GAGUUUGAUCCUGGCUCAGAUUGAACGCUGGCGGCAUGCCUUACACAUGCAAGUCGAACGGCAGCACGGGAGCUUGCUCCUGGUGGCGAGUGGCGAACGGGUGAGUAAUGCAUCGGAACGUAUCCUGGAGUGGGGGAUAACGUAGCGAAAGUUACGCUAAUACCGCAUAUUCUGUGAGCAGGAAAGCGGGGGACCUUCGGGCCUCGCGCUCUUGGAGCGGCCGAUGUCGGAUUAGCUAGUUGGUGAGGUAAAGGCUCACCAAGGCGACGAUCCGUAGCAGGUCUGAGAGGAUGAUCUGCCACACUGGAACUGAGACACGGUCCAGACUCCUACGGGAGCAGCAGUGGGGAAUUUUGGACAAUGGGGGCAACCCUGAUCCAGCCAUGCCGCGUGAGUGAAGAAGGCCU